AUUAUACUCCCUCCGUCCGGAAUUACUUGUCAUCAAAAUGGAUGAAAAUGGAUGUAUCUACAACUAAAAUACAUCUAGAUACAUCCAUUUCAAUGACAAGUAUUUCCGGAUGGAGGGAGUACAAG
rnacentral:pre_miRNA from 1 species